rnacentral:rRNA from 1 species
GGUUAAGCGACUAAGCGUACACGGUGGAUGCCUAGGCAAUCAGAGGCGAUGAAGGACGUGCUAAUCUGCGAAAAGCGUCGGUAAGGUGAUAUGAACCGUUAUAACCGACGAUGUCCGAAUGGGGAAACCCAGUGCAAUUCGUUGCACUAUCGUUUGAUGAAUCCAUAGUCAAACGAGGCGAACCGGGGGAACUGAAACAUCUCAGUACCCCGAGGAAAAGAAAUCAACCGAGAUUCCCCUAGUAGCGGCGAGCGAACGGGGAGCAGCCCAGAGUCUUAAUCAGCAUCAGCAUCAGGAGAACGGUCUGGAAAGGCCGGCAAUAAAGGGUGAUAGCCCCGUAUCCGAAGGUGUUGGUGUUGUGAACUCGACGAGUAGGGCGGGACACGUGUUAUCCUGUCUGAAUAUGGGGGGACCAUCCUCCAAGGCUAAAUACUCCUGAUUGACCGAUAGUGAACCAGUACCGUGAGGGAAAGGCGAAAAGAACCCCGGCGAGGGGAGUGAAAUAGAACCUGAAACCGUGUACGUACAAGCAGUGGGAGCCUUGAUUUAUCAGGGUGACUGCGUACCUUUUGUAUAAUGGGUCAGCGACUUAUAUUCUGUAGCAAGGUUAACCG